CUAGCGGCACUUCAACAGGUAAGAUUUGUAUCUCUAAUGAAACAAAUUGUCUUAAUUGAUGUCUUUGUAGCAUUAUUUGGUACAACCUUUUGAUGUUGUGUAUUUGUGCAUACAGUUAUCAUCUUGCAGGUGUCUAUAAAGCUUAUGAUUUAAGAGAUGAGGGUUCAGACUACUUAGGAAAAGCUGUCUCCAAGUGAUGAAUAGAUAAAACUCAGAUAUA